GCUGACCCACGCCCCCUGUGCCGGCCUUCAAGGAGCAGCGGGAGCUGGAGGAGGGCCGCGUGCUCGGUGGGGGAUGACGGUCGACUCAGCCUCAAAUGAGUAGCUGCUGCUGCUGCAGGUGUCUACGAAACAAUCGGCAGCGGGGGGGAGACAAAGGCGGCCGGGCGUGGUGCUGGCCGCUCCCACACCCCCUCGUGUGCCCUUUGCCAGCCUUUACAGGUGCGUGACGUCAUUUAUGCACGGCCCCUUGGGUUUUGGCAAAUCCUGGAGGAGCGUCAACAGAGCGGUGGUGGAUUGGUGGCAAUUGAAAUUGACUUGUCGUGAACAAAUUCAGGAUACGGUGACUCUCAGCUCGUUUGUCCGUCCCUAGCCACUGGGGGGGGACGGGGAACGGGGGGGUGGGUGUUUGGUGUCAAUUUUAAACGCAAGCUCAAAGGCUCGUUGGGAUGUCGAGACGCUAUAAUUGGAGCGUCCUCUGCGACGUGGCGCAGAGGGGUUUUGUUUGGAGGCAUUUUAAUUGAGUCCUCAACCACGGCCAGAUUCCUUUCGCGUCUCAUCAUCGUCGCGCACACCCCCGGAGAAUCGUUUAUCUGCUCUCGUUAUUUUAAUAUCUACGGGACGUCUUCACUUGACGUCAGUAGCCGGGGCGAUGAAUGAUCAGGGUAGAUUUGACCCUUGCUGCCGAUAAAACACCGAGGUCUUGAGAUGUUCCGACACCAAAAUCGAUGGCUUUUUGCAAGGCGUCGUGUCUGCAUUAACCAGGCCACAGUAACCUGCCUCUGGUGUAGGCCAAGCAGUUUCAAAGACGA